UGAGGGGCUGGUGGACUACCGAGCUUCCAACUCUAACAGCGGGCCGAAGAAGGCAAAGGACACGGGCGCCAAGCCGACCAAGGUAUGGCUAAAACAGAAGAAGCCUUUUGCUGCCAAAAAGAACAAGGCACCUGCUGCUGGGCCGAACCGAAAGCAGCAGCACGAGAAGGGCAAGACUCCAUGGGGAUGUUUCAUAUGUGGCGAGCCUCAUCUUGCAAGGAACUGCCCGAAGAAAAAGACUGUCAAUGCCUUGCCGGUGCAGGAUUCGGCAGC
rnacentral:lncRNA from 1 species